UUUUGUAAGGACUUCAACUGCAUUGACAAAAGAAACCGGUUUGUCUUCAGUUUGGCCCCUUGAGGCAAUGAGGAGUGAGAUGGUGUUGCCAAACAGAGCUGUGACUUGUGUGUGCAGCUUUUUUUCCUGCGAGAGGUAAACCUCACAUUUGGAAGGAGUAAAGCAUAAUAAAAAGGGCAAGCCUUCAAGAAUGGGGGAAACGUUUUCGAUUCAAAUUAAGCAAGGAAUAACACGCAGUGCUCCUAGGUCUAGGGGCCUGCCAGUGCCAAGAAAGCGCUCUCCUGGAUCAACACUUGGGGGCUUGGAAGAUACUGGGCAUGGUUUAAGAUGGUCUUAAUUCUUUUUAGAUAUUGAUAAGGUAGAACGUAUGGUAAUAAUAUCAACUUUUCCAAGAUAAGUUACAAGACUAAAAAAAAGAGUACAAAGAACACUUUCAUG